rnacentral:tRNA from 1 species
GGCCGCGUGGCCUAAUGGCUAAGGCGCCAGAUUUCGGCUCUGGAGAUUGUGCGUUCGAAUCGCACCGUGGUCG